ensembl:lncRNA
GCCUGCGCGGCCUCGCCCGCCUCGCGGUCGCCAUGGCAACCUCCGCGUGCCGAGCUUUCUCCCGGUGUGAUCAGGCCCGGAACCGUCUGGAACCCGCAGUGCUGUACGUGAGGAUUUAAGGACAGAGCAGCUCGACCCAGCUUUGAGGCGGGCGGACCGUUUCCUGCCGGAAGGAAACGCUGCUGGCCGUCGGAUCUGGGUUCCCCGCCACCCUGCUGACUCCUUCGGCCUCGGGGGCUGUGGGGCUGCAAGCUCUCAGCCGGCCCGGCCCACGUCCUGCUAGCUGCGUCCUGGCUUCCCGCAGUCUCCAAACUGAAAAUGUCCAACAUCUUUCUUCUGGCUUUCAGAAGCAUAGCACACCAUUGUCCUCCAUGGUCGCCCUGCUGUCCUUGCUACACCAGGCAACCGGGAGAAUGGCCAGAAAGUGAAGUCUUUGCACCCUGAGGCUAAUAUCACAUUGCUCUGCGGAGAUGGAUUCAGCCCAGAUUUUCCCCACUAACACAUAAUGAGAUUGAAAAGAGAAAAGUCUUGGUGACUCGCUGAAGAUCCAGUGGGCAGUUACUGAAGGAUUCAAAUCUGUAAAGGAGUCUUCUAACGUCAAGACCCUCCCCACCAUGGGACAGCUGCCAUCCAGUGACGGAACAUCACACAGAGACACCAAGAAGAAUCUACACAGCGAGGCUCUUUCAAGUUCCCUGUAAACUCGUCGCCUCAGAUGAAAGAAAUGAGCCUCAAAAGUGAAAUAAAUGACCGACUGACAACCCGGAGCUGCUGGAUGGGGAGUCUGAGCCCAGGACCCAGGGCUGAUUGGCUCCAACACCCUGUCUGCCCUCACAGCAUUCUCUCAGCCCCAGAAGAGAAAGUCUGUAGUCGUGUGCAAUUCUCUUGUCACUUUGCUAUCAUAUAUGAGACUAAAUAGCAGAAGGCUGGCUUUCCCGAAGGAGUGUGGGAUUUGACUUCACACAGGCCUGUAGUUCCCAUGGAUCAAAGACACAUGCAUGUGGAGCCAUGCUUUCAAUUCUAGGUGCUUCCACAAUGAAAGGAUGAAUUGGGGUCAGUGGUCCCCACAACAUCUUCUGGCCUAACAGGAAAGAGAAACGUAAAAAGUGCUUUUGAAAAGACAGAUGCUAGGGAUCAAAUCCCAGGAACACCUCUUCUUAAAGCAGGAGUUUUGCACAGCAUCUGUAAGGAUGUGUCAGAUGACAAAUGGGUGUGAGAUGGAGUCCACUGUUUUCCUAGGACCUGGAAACAUUUGUGUCCUAGUCACUCCUCAGACGGACAGGCACUUUUUCCAAAUAAGGACGAAAUCAGCUUUCCUCUGUCAGUGGCUGCUGCCCAUCCCCAGUUCCCCAAUGCAAUGCCAGCCUGGAAAUAAGUUUCAGCAAAGACAUACUUAAUUUUCUGUUUGAAAGAACAUCGAAAGGAGGUGGACACUUCAGGACACUGGGCAUACACCAAAAGGUAUGACAGUCAAUGCUCUCUUUCUGUCACCAUGGUGAAAUACCUCUGAUAAUUCAGAAAGGUGUGUCAGCUCACAGUGCCUGAGGUUCCAUUCGCGAUCAAGUGGACCACAGACCAGACCUCUGGUCAGGGUGCCUGGUGAAAAUUCAGGGCACACAUGCUCACUUUCCACCCAGGAAGAGAGCAGGACCAUGCAGUUUCCUAUGGAGAAUAUUCCAGAGACAAAGAUUUCUCACAGGGCCCCACCUCCUAAAGGUCCAAGCACCUUCCUCCUUGCCACCAUGGUGACCACCGUGCCUCAGGAGACGCCCAUCUAAACUACAGAAGGCAGCCAGGUUCCCUACAGUCAGACACCCAUCGAUCCCACCUGGGUGGAAGAAGGUGGCUGAAUCACUUCAAAAUCCUCAGCCUGUCUGAGUCCCCACUAAAAUGUAAGCACAGGGAGAAUAAGGACUUGAUCGUAUCCACCACUGAAUCCUAGAGUCUAGAAAAGAUCCUGCCAGAGUCAGCAGCACAAUAUUUAGUGGUGGGAGGAAAAAUGAAGGAAGGGGAAGAAGGGCAAAAUGGAAGAAGGAAAGCAAGUGGGCAGAAAUACGCCAGUUGAUUCAGAUUUUCUGGAUUGACAAGUAUAAUUGUUAUAACUGCAGCUGAAAUAACACUUGCUGAUGCCACCACUGUGUAUAAAGGGAUGUGGAGAAGUUGAGAGUAUUUAUCAUAACUGGGGUGGGAGGACUAACACCUUAGGGGUGGCCUGAACUGAGAGCCUGAGUUAAAGCUGAGUGACUUCAAGCAAAGGUCUCCUUUGUCCUUCUAGGUCCCGGAGGACAAGGGCUCUAGCUCAGGUUUGGUGCCUGAAGGCAGAAAAACACGUGGACCUGCUCAUGGGGUUCUCACAGUCUAAUGAGGGACCUAAGGGCUGGGUGUGCAAGUUCAAUGCAGGUCUGUAGGGCCAAGAUCCAAAAAGAGCUCCCCAGCAGGAGCUGUGUUCUGUGGCUGGGGGCUUGCAAGCAUGGAAGAUGGAGUUGCCUGAGAGGAGGCAUCUGUGUGUGACCUGGAAAGGUGAUGAGCUCGGAGCUUAGACGCUGCGUGGUUGUCCUUUCUGAGCAAUGAUGCUGUCAGGCAGACUGACCCCUCCCUUUUCUAUCUAGAAGAACUGGACUGAAGAUAGAAUAACGAAACUGAUUUUAAAAAACUGAUGCAAAACUCCCUCCUCCUCCUGUGUUCCCUACAUUCCUCAGGAGAGCCAUGAAAUUAUUAAGUCUGAGGACAGCCUUCAUCCAUAUUCUGUG